rnacentral:misc_RNA from 1 species
GAGAAUCCACGGUUGGCUCAAAAGCUUCAUGACGUGUUACUUGAAAGUGGUGUGGUUGCUCCCCCUAACUUGUUUACUGAGGCAUACCCUGACCAAAUAGAUGUUAUUGUUGAGUCUAAGUCACCAACGGAAGACAAGGAUCAAAGUAGAAAGGUGCCUGGUCUCUGUGAAAGUGUAGAUAAGAAUGAUCCUCGUCCAGCUAACUUUUUGCCUCCCUUGCCUCAGCCCAGAAUGCAUUCUAGAGCCAGCCCUACCCAUGGCCAACAACUGCACCUUAAACCUCUGGAAUUUAACCUUUCUCUCGAUCCAAGAGAAGCAGCCGGACAACCUAUAGCCUUACCUUUUGAGGUAACACCAGUGAAGUAUGGG